UAAAAUGAUACAGCUCUCCAUAACUGCAAUCUCUUUCUUUGUAUAUGAGUUUUUAAUUUCUUGUAACUGACCUUGACACAGAGUCAUUUGUCUGCAACCAUAUUUGAAAUCUAGACGGUCUUGACUGGUGUGAAUCCAAGAUAAAGGGAUCUGAAUAUGUGAUGGAUAUUUUUGGCUUACCCCUGCUCUUUGCUGUCCUACAAGUCCAGCAGUGCUGGUGCUUGGGGGAAGGAGUUUCACCCACAAUCAAAGAGCUCAGAUACAUUCAUUGGUCCUUAAUGUCGUUCCUUCAAUAAUUUCGAAAAUCUAUCGGGCUAUUGUUACUCACCACCUGAAUGGUUCCUAUCUACUUUGCUU
rnacentral:lncRNA from 1 species